GAAAUUCUCAUCCAUCCUCUCCAGCGACUCCUAAAAAUAAAACCAAAAAUUCUCCCCAAAACACUUUCACUGACUUCUCACCCUCCAAUUACCGAAUUGCACUCCCAAUUAGCGCCUGCGCGGAAACCCCCCUAAAUUCCCACCGAUGAAAAUCUCCGAUCAAUUUCCCCGUUCCCAUUGGUCAAUCCGUAGGUCAAUGAAAAACAGGAUAAACCCACUAACCCACAAAAGACCCACAAGAAAAUUCCGUGAGAGCCGAUAAAAAAUCCCCAAACAGCCCCCCUCAAAAAAUAAACCCAAAAAAGCUCCGGACAUCGAAAAAAUUCCGUAAAAUCCAUGUGUUUUUAACCCACAAAUAACCCAAGAAGACUUUUGAUUGCGCGCGCGUCUGCCUUUUCCAUUUUCCCCUCAUUCCCCGUUGCUCACCCGCUGUGAACAAGUGUUGAAGUAAAAAGUCAGUUGAAGUGAUUUGAAGUUGCAAUAACAAGUAAAUAAAUCACCAACCGAGGUAAAUCCCCCCUAUUUAAUCAAAAUAAUAAUAGUAAAUUGACCAAAUUGACCCAUUGGUGGAUUAAAUCCCGGAAAAUAGCCCGAUGUCCGUGAUAAUGCGCAGUAAAUACUGGCAUGUUUGUUUCACAUGGACGAUCGAUACGCCAUCCCAGAAUGGCGUGCAAUGUAAAUCGGCCUGACGAAGUGAUGACCAGUGAUGAGAAUGCCGCAAAUACGGGUGUGAAGGUGUAUGUCAUAUCUGUCAAGCAAUACGGUAAAGCUGAGUGGAUUAUUUCAUCGUCAAGGUGGUGGAGUGCAGAAUAUGGAAAGCCCUAAAAAACACCGAGAGUAAUCAAUCCCCCAGAAUCAACACCAGAGAUCUCACAAAUAAAUUAUUGAUAAAUUGGAGGAUGAGAGGCUGGAAGACAAAGAGUGGGAGAGAAGAUCAUAAUGACACUCUGGUGCUGUGAAUUGAAUUUAUUCGGGAUAUCUGGGAUCAUUGAUAUCAUUGGGAUAAUUGGAAUCUUUGGAAUCUUCGCUAUCUGUUUGGAUCUUUUUUGAUGUUUUUCGAUGUUUGUGAAGGUUUUUCAUUUUUUUUUUUAUGGUGACUACUGUGAUGUGACUGUGUUGAAUAACUCGUGUCUGUGAAGGGUUGAUGUCGAGGGAUAGUGGAUUGAGGAAGAGAGAGGACUGAGGAUUGAGGGGAAAGGAGGAACGAAUGGAUGGAGACGGGCAUGUGUCGUUUAGCUGCUGUGGUCGCCACUUGGAAUCGGUAGAGGUGCCCAGGCCACCGACCCAUACCCGUGACCGCGAGACAAGCCUCUACGAGACAGUGUGAGACCCAUGUCCGUGUGAAAUAUAUUUUAUAUGUAUUGUGCUAGUUCAAAAGCCUGGGUAUAACCCGUAGGGACAAGGUUAUACAGACCGCCACCAUAACUGUCUAGUUUCGUCAACUCUUUUUUUUUUUCUCCUCUCACUUCAUCAUUUAAUUUUUUUUAAACAUUUCAUUUAUUAUAUUCCACUAAUUCCACUAAUUUCAUCAAUUUCUCCCAUUUCUAUCGUCCUCACUAUCUCAAUUUCUGCCAUCAUUUUAAUUUUGUCAAUAAUUCAGUGUUGGGUGAACGUCGAGUGUCGAAAAUAGCAAGUGUAACGAAUGAUUUUCUUCCCAGUGUUUCCGUCAUAAUAAGGACACCCUAUAGUAUAUGUUACCGAUGUCUUCCUAGGGAUGGAAAUCAGUGAUUACAAUUUAGAUAAUGAUAAUAGAAUUUAUGAUACGAGUGAUAAACAGAAGAGGUCAUAGACAACUGAGAUGGACCGAGUUAAUCUCGGUGUUGGUGAUUCACAUGUGAGUGAUGAUGAGGAUGAUGGUACACGCCAUAAAGAUGGAUUUACCGUAUGCUCUUUGUUCGUUCACAGUAGUGCAAUACGAUGAUUAUUUUCAAUGGUAGAAACUGAGGUGAAGAGGGAGGGAAGAGAGAGAGAAAGAGAGAGAGAGAAGAGUAAUGAAUAAAAGUAUGAGAGUGAUUGAUAAUUUUCACGGACUCGUUGUCAUCAUUUGACCCUAAAUGCUCAUGUGUUUAUGGAUUCAGACUGAUGAUGUUUAUGUUAUUUUGUUAUCAUUUGGAAAAGGAUUGAGAGUGAUAUCAGAUUGUAAAAAUGGAGACACUAUUACCGGCUAGUACUGGCAGCCCUUCUUACAGUCCACAAUUGAAGACAGUCUUGAAGACAUAUCAAUUAUCAGCAGUUAAGAGCCUGCAAGGACCGAGCUCAGCCCUUUUGGGUAUGGACUGUAGAGGAAUAUUGCAGGAACAAACGUCCUUUCACUUCCCAACCCUCAAUCGUACAUCAAAUUGCAUUGAUUCGGAUACAGAUGAUAUUAAUGGAAAAGAUUACAAGAAGAGCGAUGACACUGUGGCUGCAUCAGUGGCUGUACCACCAACACUAGCACCAUCAGUUUUAUCAAGAAGAGAUCACAUUGUUGACAGAUCGCAGGAUGAUUCAGACGAUGAUCCACAGCCCGAGAGGUUGAAAAUAAUCGGUGAAAAGCGGGAAUUGGAAUUUCAAAUACCAAUUCUCACAGCACCAGAUCAGAGCUGCUCUGAGAGGUGUGAAACAACACUGGAGAACGAGAGAAUCUCGUGUUUUGUUGUUGGUGGUGAGCGCAGACUCUGUUUACCCCAAAUACUCAAUACUGUACUCCAGGAUUUUUCAUUGCAGCAGAUUAAUCAGGUUUGCGAUGAAUUACAAAUAUACUGUUCACGAUGCACCCAUGACCAAUUGGAGGAGUUAAAAUUGUCUGGUAUUCUGCCAAGAAAUGCACCGUCUUGUGGAUUAAUCACACAAACUGAUGCUGAGAGACUCGUUAGCGCACUUUUACUGCGUAUUGAGCCACGUGAAUUACCGCAGAUGAUUGAGGAUAAUGAGGGAAAGGAGCAUUGUGAUAAGGAUACUAAUGAUACUGUCGCUAAAUUCAAAGUUUAUCACGAGUGUUUUGGAAAAUGCAAGGGAAUAUUCAAUGCUGAGAGAUUUGAUGCUGAGGAUUCGGCGUGCAUUGAGUGUUUGGAAUGUGGAUGUCAGUUUUCACCUCAGCGUUUUGUACGUCAUGCACACAGACCACUUGAGAAUCGUACCUGUCACUGGGGCUUUGAUUCAACCAAUUGGCGGUGUUAUUUGUUGUUGUCACGCGAUCAGCCUCAUUACAACAAGCUCGUUACAUUCUUUCGGAACUUGAAGGAUAAAUAUCCUCUGCCCAAUCUCAAGAGGAAGCUCACUGAGUUUCGAAAUGAGUCUGACAAAUUACCGAAACGACUGAAAAAGGAAAUGGGACGUAAUGAAUUUGCUGGUGUUUAUGCUGGUGGCAAUGGCUUGGGGAUGUACUCGAUAUCACCGGCCACAGGUGGAGGUGAUCCUUAUCUGCAAAUGCAGUGGGCAGUUUUUGAAUUGGCGGCACGUGGUGCCUCUGCCUUCAGGCCCUGGAACACAGCUAAUACUUGCAAACAUCGAGACAGUUCACCACUGGUGCCCGCUUAUCUGAGCCGAGGUCCACCGGUGCUGCAGCAUCCAGAGCGUGUGGUACCGCUCUCAGAAUGCGAGCGUUUUGAGCCCCAUUAUCAGCCAAAUGUUGCCCUGGCCCCGAUAACACAACCACCAAUACAACCAACACCAACAACGCAGUCCGAGGAUCUGCCAGGAGGUCACAGACACCUCUACCGAGAUCCCCACAAUCACAAUCAUUCCCCAAGUUCUCGUGAAAAACUGGAGCCCCUGGUAUCAGUUAAAAUGGAGAAACCAUCAUCACCGGGUCCAGAGUCAUGUGAAUAUUCACGUAAUUUUUCAACGCCAUCUAAAAAUCCGGAGGAGUGCAGAAACGAGAGGCCAAAAAUGAAGAGAAAAAUUCUUCACAGAAAGAAUUGCGAGGACGAGGACAGCAGUGCUGCUGUGACAUCCUCGACGAUAACAAUGGAGUUAUCAGCUGGUGUGAGUACAUCGUCGUCACGGAGUGACACUGAAGAGGAUUUAGCAGCGAUAGUUGAGCUCGAGGAGCGUCUUGUGGCUAUUGAUGCACCACAUGACGUUAUUGCUCUGGUGAGACAAGUGGCAUCAGAACUUAAUAAUUUAAGAGUUGGACGUCAACAGGACGCACAGGAAAUAGUUAAGUUACGUGAUGAGCUGGAAAAAAUAACAAUUCAACAGGCUAAUGUUAAUCCUCGUGAUUCUGUUGAUAGUGGUGAUAACAGUGAUAAUCAGGUAAAGGAUAAUUAUCCAAGUGCUGCUGACAGCACUGAAGACAAUGACACUGUUGAAGAGGCAGCACAAAUUAUUGACAACAAUGAAGAGCUCGACAGAGCUGUUACUCCAUCAACUGCAAUUAGUAAUGAUUAGAAAUUAUUACCAAUUAGAUUAAGAUUAUUCAUAGUAAGCAGGACAACAAUAAUAGCGAAUGAAUAAAAUAAUAUUAUAAUAAAGAACUGCUCAGCAAUUGUGGACACUUAUUAUCACCUAGUGAUAAUGGUGUGCGCAAAAUUUUUAGCACUAAAUUAUCAAUGUUACAAAUUCUAAAGUUAAUGAUGACGAUGAAAGAAAAAUGUCUUGGUUAUGUGAUAUAUGAAAAGCCUUUAACGUUAUAGAAUGGUUAAUUUUUUUGUUCGUUUUUUCAGAUAAUAUUGUAAAGUGAACUUUUAUCGACAGUUUUUACUUACGAAAACGAGAUUAAAUGAAUCAUGUAGAUAAUGUGUGAUGCGAUGAAUGAGAAGUAGAUUUUGAAUAUUCGAAUAAACUGAGCCAAUAUAUAUUAGAACAAGAUAUUAUGUUUGAAAUAUAUUAAUGAAGUGCAUAAGACAUUUUUCGUAGGUGGAGUUUUAUCAUUGAUUGCGAUGAAAGAUCAAUUGUUCAUUCAGUCUUCUCAUUACCGUAGUUGUGCAGAUUUCAAAUGAAAAAGAUUAAAAAAAAAAAGAAGAUAGAAAAGAACUGGUAGACGGGACUGACAAAUCGUUGAAUUGCUUUUCAUCAACAACUUACUGUCGUAUUGGUAUUAUGUAAAUAGUUUCUCUUGUCAUAAAGUUACGUUUAUUAUUAUAUUAUGAAAAUUAUUGAAAAAAGUACAAAACCCUAGGUGCUAUGUUAUUACACUGGGUGAUUAUAAUCAACUCGUGUUAAUAGACUUGAUACUUUCAAUUGUAAAAACUGGAUGCAUUGAGUGCGUUUUUUUUUUUGUUGUUGUAACAAUAUUCAAAAUUUUCAUGAUUAUUUGCAUAAUUUUGCAUGACUGAAUGGGCAAUCUCUUCGAAAGUCGACUGAAUUCAUAGACAUAAUUAUUGUACUGCCAGAAAAAUUGACAUAAAUUUAUGAGAAUUUAUUUCAAUCAUCAAUUACCGGAAUUAUUGUAAAUGUUGUUAUCGAUUGUUUUCUUUUAGUGCUGUUGUGAGGGAAAAAUGUUGGGUGAUUUUAUUGAGACGUAAUCAAUGCUUCCGUUUUUACGGACGUCAACGCAAUUGAAUUAGGGACGUCCACAGAAUAAAUUUGAUACUAACGACGGAGUAAAAAUUCUCUUUAUCAAGUCAACUCGUACUACUCUCUAUGUAUAGGAGGAUAAACUACAUAAUUAGUCAUAAAAAAAAAAAAUUAAUAACUACAGACGUCGAUGAAACUUAUGUAUCGCGCAUGGACUGCAUGAAUGGAUGAAAAAAUUUAAAAAAAAACACCGUAAUUUAUUUAUACUGCUGGGUUGUGUAUUUCAAGUCCAAAUAAUAAAUUAUUAUUCUGGAGCGGGUACUUCGAGACAAAAUUAAGGCAUAAUUAGAACUUUCUUAUUGCUCACUUAAGAAAGUAAGAAAUUGUAUAAAAUUUUAGCACUUAAAAUUUGGGGAUUAAUAACUCGUGGAAUUGGACUCUAAAUUGAUUCCAUUAGUCUUGGUUUUAUGAAAGUUUUUUUUUUAUUUUCAAUACUUUGAAGGGCGUGAAGGUUUUUAUUGUCAGAAGAAUUAUGAACAACAGCUGACGGUUGAAAAAUGAAAAAUUAAAAACUGCUGUAAUAUUUUACACAACUGAUUUUAAAUACAACGCUGGACAAUCCACGUCGAUUCAGCCACUUCUUCGGUUCGACUCGCUCUCUUUUUUAUAUAUAUAUAUAAAUAAUUAAUGAUUGUAUGAUCAAACGCUCGCUGGAAGAUAGCGAUAAAGAUUUUUAUCAUUCUCUCUGGCAAAAGUCCACGAGAAAAAGAAGUGGCUCAAUCGAUCUGGAAUUUUCAUAAUCUCAAUCCCACCCGAAGUCAAGAAUGUUAUUAUGUUCUUUCGUACAGUUAUCGAUGCGCAUAUUUUAAAUAAAAAUCAACCAUAUAAACAAUAUCGACGAACCGUUGUAUCUGAGGUCCAACCAUGACUCACUGUUCAUCUAGGGUCGAUUAAACAAAUGAUAAAACAUUGAAUAUUCGUCGAGAACUCGUAUCACAUAAAAAAAAUCUAGUACCUGCAAUUGGCUGAAGCCUGAAAAUUUUGUGAUUAGAGAGUUUCAUCAUGCAGAUUAUGACGAUGCAUGUGUCUUAAGCUCAGUGUAAAUAUUAACAUUAAUUAAAAAAUAAGUUUGAUCACGUCCAAAAUAACAAUGUUGACAACAAUCGGACGAUAAAUCUGUCAUUUGUCUAGAGUUUCAUACACGAAAGAAUUGCAUCUUUGAAUUAUUUCGUACAUGAUCAUGUGCUUUAUCUCUCGAAUGUAUUAAAUUCAAUGGAAUAUAUCUUCCUCUCAAAAAUCGGAUUUUGAUUUUUCUAUUGAGAUUUUCUCUGUGGCACAAUCUUUUUCCGUACGAGAUCAAUUUUUGGGGGAAGCUAGGUUUUAUUGAAUUUUUUAUUUGCAGUAAUUUCGGAAGUCACAAGUAAUUGAACUUCGGAGUAAUCGAACAGAACCGGAUUAUUUACAAUGUAAAGUACAAAAUUGAUCUCCAUGUUGGAUUUAAAUAUGCACGAUUAUUCUUUUUCAUCCUCGCUCAUUCUCAUCACUAGGAAAAAAAAAACAACUGAUGAUGACACAUAAAAAUUGACUGGUACAAUUCAUCAAAAAACCAUUAGUGGUCUGACUAUUUAUAAAAGAACAAAUCAUCCGAAUCAAUUCGUUAAAUAAACCUCAUAAUUUUAGGGAAAAAUUGGUUAAAAAAUCAUCACAAGAUCUGAUAAAUCCCAAAAUUAUCUGUAUUAAUAAUUUUACUUUAUGUACUCGUGUCACUAAAUUAAAAUAAAAAUCGUCGAUCGAAUGACGAAUGGAAUCAGAAGAAUUGAUAUCAGACAAAGAAAAUCAUUCGCUCAAUAAAAAUUCAACGUAAAAAUGUAAAGAAUUCCGUGACUAUAAUGAAAUUUGUCUUAUGCAUUACGUUGUAAUUAACAACGAGUUUGUUGAAUUGGUCUCUGACUCUGCAAAGCAUUGAGCCUGAAUUGUGGUAAUUGAUGAUGGCAUCAGUAAACUUAACCCGUUAAUGAUUGAAACGAGAGAAAGAAUGUGAAGAAUUCAUUGAACCGAACGAUAUGCCAUUAACUCGUUUCAAAGCUGUAGUAUUCUCGAAAUGCAAUAGCCGUCAAUUAUGUGUACCAUAUUUUAAUUAGGAGAGAAAACGUAUUUGUUGUUAGCUGUUUUUUUCCUCAUAGAAAAAUUCUUUAGGAGUUUCCAUUCACUUCCAUUGUUUUCUUUCUUCAGACGAUAAUUGUUAAUAAAA